UAUGGCUCAGCAGGUAGAUUACGAGACUCUUAAUCUCAGGGUUGUGGGUUUGAGUCCCACACUGGGCAAAA